CCUAGGGAGGCAGCAGUGGGGAAUAUUGGACAAUGGGCGAAAGCCUGAUCCAGCCAUGCCGCGUGUGUGAAGAAGGCCUUCGGGUUGUAAAGCACUUUCAGUGGGGAAGAAAGCCUUGGGGCUAAUACCCUCGAGGAAGGACAUCACCCACAGAAGAAGCACCGGCUAACUCCGUGCCAGCAGCCGCGGUAAUACGGAGGGUGCGAGCGUUAAUCGGAAUUACUGGGCGUAAAGCGCGCGUAGGCGGUCUGAUAAGCCGGUUGUGAAAGCCCCGGGCUCAACCUGGGAACGGCAUCCGGAACUGUCAGGCUAGAGUGCAGGAGAGGAAGGUAGAAUUCCCGGUGUAGCGGUGAAAUGCGUAGAGAUCGGGAGGAAUACCAGUGGCGAAGGCGGCCUUCUGGACUGACACUGACGCUGAGGUGCGAAAGCGUGGGUAGCAAACAGGAUUAGAUACCCGAGUAGUC
rnacentral:rRNA from 1 species